GGUUCCCAAGGUGGUAAAGUGUGGCAACCACGCGCCUUUCGGGCUAAAAGAGAUGCAGGGACAGCCACUCCUGCUGGGAACU
rnacentral:ncRNA from 12 species